GGAAAAUGAGAAGUACAUAAUAAUCACUUAGCUGGGCUAAUAACGAAGCUUACUUUUUUUGUUUGUUUGUUUUUCAAGUGAUGUUUUGUUUGGGGAAUUCAGAUUUGACUUUGCAUUUAUAACUUCUAUGAACAUAACGCUGUUUUUAUUAAGGUGUUUUCUAAAUUUUUUAUUUUUUUUUCCAAGCAAAUUUUAGGUUACAGUUUGUGGCAAGCUGUUCUCUUCACUGUGUCUUCAACUGUAUGAUAUUUAUAAGCCAAUAUUGUGCUUGUUUCCCCAGUGAAGAAGACAGAAGGUGAAAUUCAUUCUAUACAAAGGAACAGUGAAAGUUACUUUUACCUGCCAUAAAUAAAUUGGGCACAAUUUUCCCAGCAGUGUAUCUCAAAGUAUCAUCAGAGGUAGAUAUAUGCUGAUCUGAGAAGAGUUCAUGGGAUCUUAUGAGAUGUAUCUGAGGAUCCUGAAUGACCAGGUGGAUGAAGCUGCCUGCUCUAGUAUGAAACAGACUCUGAGCAGUCAUCGUACAAUGGAAAGAAUGCAUGUCCUCUGUCUUCUGCAAGUUGUGUUCUGGGCACAGGAUCCUCCUACAUAAAUAUUGGAAUAAAUGUGGGGGCCAGGAGACUGGGAAGGAGCCCAUGAAAUGCCUUUGAAAUAAGCAGAGACCUUGAAUGUGAUUUGAAAUAUAGUAGGAAGCCAGAAUGAAGACGUCAGCAACAGACUGGUGCAGAUGUGGUUAUCAAAUGUAGCUGGACACAGUACCUGCAUCUUUACUAGCUAUAAUUUUCUGUGUGUGGAAAGUUCAUGCUGAAACUUUUGCUA
rnacentral:lncRNA from 1 species